AAUGUUGUGUAAUGGUUUGAAGCAAGAAAAGAAGCUUAAACUAACUUACAACCUUACUCCUGAGACGAUUUCAAAUUGCUUUGAUGUUUGCGGCUUGAUGAACUUCCAUCUGUUUAUACUUCCAUGAUACAACUCAUUAUAUUUUCUAAACACCGUAUCGUAUUGAAAAUAAAGAAUA